rnacentral:rRNA from 1 species
UACGUAGGGUGCAAGCGUUAAUCGGAAUUACUGGGCGUAAAGCGUGCGCAGGCGGUGAUGUAAGACAGAUGUGAAAUCCCCGGGCUCAACCUGGGAACUGCAUUUGUGACUGCAUCGCUGGAGUGCGGCAGAGGGGGGUGGAAUUCCAAGUGUAGCAGUGAAAUGCGUAGAUAUUUGGAGGAACACCAAUGGCGAAGGCAGCCCCCUGGGUUAACACUGACGCUCAUGCACGAAAGCGUGGGGAGCAAACAGG